rnacentral:lncRNA from 1 species
CACUUACACUCACCUCUCCCAUCAGCCACCCUACACUAUGCUACUAGCUCCAACUUUAAGCCAUGCUUCCUCUGCCAACUCAAGACUAUAGUGCAGCCCAACUUUCAUGCUUCCAUUUUCACACAAAUACUUCUCAAUUCACAAAGUUCUCUCUUCCAAAAGAAAGGGGAACGAACUGGAGUUACAGAGCCUUAACAUCUGCACACUUUCAGACCACACACCCCAAAUUCAGUGAGCUCCUCCUCAACACAAUCACCACAAGGUUUCAUUUUCUUCAAACUAUAAUACUUUGCUUUUACAGUAUUGAAUAAGGCACCUCCAUUUACUUUCACAAACACACAAACCUCAACUGCCCAACCAAGAUUCACGAGCAUACAUACAUUCACAAACAAGUUUAAUACAAGUGUAGAUAUGUAUAAAUGAUCUGUAUAUAUAUAUAUGUACAUACAUCAGAGCAUGACUGUUUUAAUAGAAAAAGAAGAAAUGAGAAGUCUUGAGCUUUGUUUAUGACUGUCGAGUCUGGUUUUGGUGUGUCGAGUCGAGACAGAGAGUGAGAGUUGAAGGAGAUAAGAGUGUUUCGGCGGCGGCGGCGCUGCUGCUGUCCGUUGAAGCCAGGGAAGGAGGGGGAAGUCAGGGGCCAGGGAGCGCCC